rnacentral:rRNA from 1 species
AUUGAACGCUGGCGGCAGGCCUAACACAUGCAAGUCGAGCGAGCGGCGGACGGGUGAGUAAUGUAUGGGGACUGCCCGAUAGCGGGGGAUAACUACUGGAAACGGUAGCUAAUACCGCAUACUAUCGGAUAACCCAUAUGGGAUUAGCUAGUUGGUGAGGUAAUGGCUCACCUAGGCGACGAUCCCUAGCUGGUCUGAGAGGAUGAUCAGCCAAACUGGGACUGAGACAAGGACCAGACUCCGACGGAGGCAGCAGGUGGGAAUAUUGGGCAAUGGGCGAAAGCCGGAUAGAGCCACGCCGCGGGUAUGAAGAAGGGCCUAGGGUUGUAAAAUUCUUUCAGUCGGGAGGCGUUACCGACAGAAGAAGCACCGGCUAACUCCGUGCCAGCAGCCGCGGUAAUAC